GGUGAGGUGGAACCUGUGGGCAGGAAGGAACACGCGACGGGUUUUCAGACAACUUUGACCUUUAUCCCAAGCCUUCUGGGAAUCUUUGUAAGACUAUUAAGCAGGUAGAUCGCACAGUUAGUGUUGCGUUUCUGAAAGAUCAUCCCGCCCGCAGCCUGGAAGAUGGAUUGGAGAUGGCCUUUUGGAGGAUCAUCAGAUAUCCUGAGCCAGAAGAGUGUCUCUUCAGAUCUCCGAGGGCGACUGCCAAGCUAUGAUUGACCCACACCCCAGUCUCUUUGCUUGACAGCGGUCCACGCUGCGCGGGCCAGAGCCUUGCUUCCCAGGAAACACCCCAGUGCACAAGGAGCAAACCAGGGACAGUAAGUCCGCAGAGACGUGCAACCACCCCAAGGAGUGAAUUUGGCUCGAGAAUUCCCCGAGGGCCUUACAGAAAGUGGAACUGCACCGCACCUAAGGCCCCUUCCCCCUUCCUUCCUCCUCCCUCCUGCCCCGCCUCUCUUCCCGCUCCUCCUGCCUCAGACCUGCUCUGCGGGACAGCCGCUUGCAGCCGCGUCCGGGCCCCUUCCUCCGCUUCCCUUUCAGGCCUUGGCCUAAUAAACCUUUUGCGUGAGCCAAAUGUAAGUUCCCAAAUAUCACCGACAAAAUAAAACUGAGUUUGUUGCCUGGGA